rnacentral:rRNA from 1 species
GAUGAACGCUGGCGGCGUGCCUAAUACAUGCAAGUCGAGCGAACGGACGAGAAGCUUGCUUCUCUGAUGUUAGCGGCGGACGGGUGAGUAACACGUGGAUAACCUACCUAUAAGACUGGGAUAACUUCGGGAAACCGGAGCUAAUACCGGAUAAUAUUUUGAACCGCAUGGUUCAAAAGUGAAAGACGGUCUUGCUGUCACUUAUAGAUGGAUCCGCGCUGCAUUAGCUAGUUGGCAAGGUAACGGCUUACCAAGGCAACGAUGCAUAGCCGACCUGAGAGGGUGAUCGGCCACACUGGAAGUGAGACACGGUCCAGACGCCUACGGGAGGCAGCAGUAGGGAAUCUUCCGCAAAGGGCGAAAGCCUGACGGAGCAACGCCGCGUGAGUGAUGAAGGUCUUCGGAUCGUAAAACUCUGUUAUUAGGGAAGAACAUAUGUGUAAGUAACUGUGCACAUCUUGACGGUACCUAAUCAGAAAGCCACGGCUAACUACGUG